UAAACGACUCUCGGCAACGGAUAUCUCGGCUCAUGCAUCGAUGAAGAACGUAGCAAAAUGCGAUACUUGGUGUGAAUUGCAGAAUCCCGUGAACCAUCGAGUUUUUGAACGCAAGUUGCGCCCGAAGCCUUCUGGUUAAGGGCACGCCUGCCUGGGCGUCAUGC
rnacentral:rRNA from 2 species